ensembl:misc_RNA Metazoa_SRP Metazoan signal recognition particle RNA
GCUGGGCGCGGUGACACAUGCCGGUGGUCCCAGCUACUCAGGAGGGUGAGCUGGGAGAAUUGCUCGAGUCCAGGAGUUCUGGGCAGUAGUGCACUGUACCCACUGGUGUCCACAGAGGGUGGGGGGCACCAUCAAGUUGCCUAAGAAAGAGGACUCUGCCCAGGUCCAAAACAGAGCAGGUCAAAACUCCUGUGCUGAUUAGUAAUGGGAUCAUGGCCAUUGCACUCCAGCCUGGGCAACAUAGCAAGACUCUGUCUCCU